GGGGGGGGGGGGGGGGUGCACAUAUUUGUUUGUGCCACAAUUUCCACAAUUUUAAAUGGAUCAAUCGGGUGUUCUUGAGGGUCAUGUGCGGAGAACAAUUAGGUCUAAAACAACGGCCUCGAAGGUUCUCAAAGUGUGGUAUGGGGCGGGCGGGCUCCAACGAGUCAAGGGGUAUCAAACUAAUUUUUUUCAUGGGCCACAUCAUAGUUAUGGUUUUCCUCAGUGGGCCCUUAUGAUGAUGAAAACCACAUAAAUGUAUAGUCACUUCAACAUAUUCCAUCCACCCAUCCAUCCAUUUUCUGUGGGUCGCGGGCAUGCUGGAGCCUAUCCCAGCUAUCAUUGGGCAGGAGGCGGGGUACACCCUGAACUGGUUGCCAGCCAAUCGCAGGGCACAUACAAACAAACAACCAUUCACACUCACGUUCACACCUACGGGCAAUUUAGAGUCUCCAAUUCAUGCAUGUUUUUGGGAUGUGGGUGGAAACCAGAGUGCCCGGAGAAAACCCACGCAGGCACGGGGAGAACAUGCAAACUCCACACAGGCAGGGAUUGAACCCCGGUCCUCAGAACUGUGAGGCUGACGCGCUAACCAGUUGCCCACCGUGCCGCUUGGAAUGCCUAACAUCUCAUCCAUAUCAGAGAAGGGGAUGAAUGGAAAACUGCUUUAACUACCCCCCUCGGACACUUCGAAUACCAAGUCAUGCCUUUCGGAUUAACCAACGCCACCGCUGUCUUCAAACCUUCAUCAAUGACAUCCUCCGCGAUAUGUUGAACUGGUUUGUUUUUGUUUACUCGGACGACAUUCUCAUUUUCUGCCGCUCCCCUGAAGAACAUCGCAGUCAUGUACGCCAAGUCCUCCAGCGCCUCCUUAAAAACGGCCUGUAUGUCAAACCCGAAAAAUGUGAAUUCCACCUCUCCUAUGUACACUUCCUAGGCUACAUCAUCGCCAGAAGACAAUUGCAACCAGACCCUGCCAAAAUCCAAGCCGUCGUUAACUGGCCCACUCCCACCAACCGCAAAGAACUACAAGGUUUCCUUAGAUUCGUCAACUUCUACCGUCGCUUCAUCCCCAAUUACAGUCAAGUUGCAAUCCCUCUCACUAGCCUUACAUCCACCAGCUCUCCAUUUCAAUGGACCUCGGCAGCUUCCCAAGGCUUUGACGAACUUUCCCUUUGAACCCUUUUCACCAGUGCUCACAUCCUCCGACAUCCCGACUCAUCCCUCCAGUUCGUGGUGGAGAUUGAUGCCCCGGACACUGGGGCAGGGGUUGUUCUCUCACAGCGGGACCCCUCUUCCCAAAAACUUCAUCCCUGUGCUUUCUUUUCCCAUCGUCUAUCUCCCAUCGAACGAAACUAUGACGUUGCCAACCGUGAGCUGUUGGCUAUCAUCUGGCAUUAGAAGCGUGGAGGCAUUGGCUGGAGGCGACUGAGUUACCGUUCAUUAUCUGGACUGAUUACAAAAAUCUUGCCUACCUCCGUCCGCCAAACACCUUAACCCCCAACAAGCUCAUUGGGCCCUCUUUUUGAGCCGCUUUAAUUUCAGCCUAUCCUUCCGACUUGGAUCCCGCAACAGCAAGCCUGACACCCCGUCUCGAGUGUAGUCACCCCCCUCCAGCCCUGCAGAACCAGAACCCAUCCUCCCUUCCUCAUGCUUUGUUAGAGCGGCCACCCGGAAAAUCGAACAGGUUGUCAAAGAGGCUCAAAAGACUCACUCGGAUCCCAGGACCAGACCUCCGAACAAUCUGUUCCUACCCGAUUCUUCACGCUCUGACGUCCUUCAGUGGGCCCACAAGUCCAAGCUCACCUGUCAUCCCGGCAUCACCCGUACCAUCCAUUUCAUCCAGCAGCACUUCUGGUCGCCCAGCCUAAUUAAAGACACCCGGGAGUUCGUCCAAGCCUGCUCUGUCUGUGCUUGAGAGAAGUCUUCACACCUUCCCCCCGCUGGUCUGCUGCGUCCCUUUCCCAUCCCGAACUGCCCUUGGUCCCACAUCGCUCUGGACUUCGUUACCGGCCUACCCCUCUGUGAAGAAUCCCCAUCGAUAUCAUCUCUGACCGAGGUCCUCAGUUCUCCUCCCUUGUCUGGAAGGAAUUCUGUAAAGCGGUGGGCGCAGCAGCCAGCUUGUCUUCGGGAUACCAUCCACAGACCAAGGGCCAGACGGAGCGGGCCAAUCAAUCCCUAGAAUCGGCCCUUCACUGCGUUGCCGUACGCAACCCCUCCUCCUGGAGCUCAUUCCUCCUGUGAAUUGAGUACACCUACAACUCCCUCACCAGCUCCGCUACCGGUAUGUCCCUGUUCAUGGCUUGCUAUGGCUUCCAACCUCCAUUAUUUAGGGAACAAGAGCAGGCGGUGGCGGUUCCCGCGGUAAAGGAUCACCUCAAAAGGGUUCAGGCAGUGUGGAAAGACGUCCGAGCGGCCUUAACCCGGUCUUCAGAGAAGAACAAAGGGCUCGCGGACCUUCAUCGCUCUCCUACGCCUCAGUACAAGGUGGGUCAGUCGGUUUGGCUUUCCUCCCCUGACCUCUCACUCCAGACGGAAUCCGGCAAACUCACUGCAUGCUUCAUUGGUCCAUUCCCUAUCACGGAAAUCAUCAAUCCCACGUCUGUCCAACUGAAACUCCCACAAUCUCUAAAAAUGUAUCCUACAUUCCAUGUGUCGCUACUGAAGCCUGUCUUCAGCUGCACUCUUAGCCCUCCGACCGUGCCACCUGCGCCCUCUCAUAUUUUCGGCAACCAUCCGGCCUUCACGGUUUCGUGAGGCCCAGGGGGAGGGAUUACUAGUACUUGGUGGACUGGGAGGGGUAUGGUCCGGAGGAGCGCUCCUGGAUUUCCCGUAGGCUAAUCCUUGACGACUCCCUUCUAUCUGACUUUUAUGCGGCUCACCCGGGGAAGCCGGGCAGGACGCUUGGAGGCGUCCGUUGAGAGGGGGGUUACUGUCAUGAGCUGUGCCCUGCAGUCCUUUUGUUGGAGCUUGGGUGGUGCUUUUGCGCUCCUCUCGCUCUCUCGCCGUCUCCCCCUCCUUCUUUUCCCAGUCAUCAGCACCUCCUCGGCCGCGUACCUGUCACCAAUCAGCCUUCAUCAUCAUCUGCGUUUAAGCCUGCCAGUUCCAAGACUCCACUGCCAGAGUAUUAACAUUCUCCUGCGUGCUCCCUACGUGUUCCCCGCCGAGUUGACUUCUUCCACCACGCCACCAAACCAUCCGCCUGUUCUCCCCACUGCCUGCCACACGUAACCUGCCUCUACUACCCGCCAGCACGUCUCAAGGAUCAUCUCCAUUUCGUCUUUAGAUAAACCUUUCAUCACAACAUCUCAGCCUCCACCUGCUUCUGGGUCCAGUCAAAAAACAAAUCGUGACAAACACAGUCCCUUGUGGUGUAAACAAAACAUCCUUGUUGCUAGGCUAACACUGAAACGCUGCUUCCGCUAUUUAAACGGACAUAGAUAUACUAAAUGUUAACCGAUUACCAAAAUCUAUACCUCAUUGAAAAGUAUUUUGCUUUCGUGCUGGAGGAUCACAUACCAUCAAAAGAUUUGGAGAAUCUGGAGAAAUCUCUGCACGUAAGCAGCAGCAAGGCCGAAAACCAACAUUGAAAGCCUGUGACCUUUGAUCCCUUAGGCGGCACAGCAUUAAAAAACAGCAUCAUUGUAUCAAGGAUAUUGCCACGUGGGCUCAGGAACACUUCAGAAAUUAAAUCAAACUCAAAAUGAGUGAAUAUUUGCAAAAAAUACAGUUUAUCAGUUUGAACAUUUAAUGUCUUAUCUUUUUAGUGUAUUCAGUCAAAUAGAGGUCAAAAAGGAUUUGCAAAUCAUUGUGUUCUGUUUUUAUUUAAGUUUUACACAACGUCCCAACUUCACUGGAAUUUGGGUUUGUAUUCAAAUCAAUCCCCUCCAACCACUCAUCCACACAGAUACAUACAUGUGCACAGACAUACACACAGUUAAAAAUUAAGAUGAUGAUAAUGAUCACUGGCUGGGCACUGAGAAACCAAGUGGGAAACGCCAUCUCACAGAACCGUCUGCACCCAGAGCAAAAACAGACCGUACCCACAGGACACCAGCAUGGAGACCCAGUGUAGUGGCGCGAAGGGAGCCAUAUUGGGUGACUGAGGACCCCAUGAAGCAGAGGUCAAAACAGCUCCCAGUGCAAAGGGCUACCUCUGAGAAAACACUAAAAGAUAAUAAAAUAAUCAUAAACAUACAUAAAAACAUAUACUACAUAAAACCCUAUGUUCAAUGAAGACCUAAGACUAAAAAUAGCAUAGAAAUAAAGAUAAAAUAUGAUAAAUAAUAUUAAAACAUUGAAAACAUUAACCCCUCCUUGAGCAGUCACCUUGUCGUGGUGGAGGGGUUUGUGUGUCCCAGUGAUCCUAGGAGCUAAGUUGUCUGGGGCUUUAUGCCCCUGGCAGGGUCACCCAUGAGAAACAGGUCCUAGGUGAGGGACCAGACAAAGCACGGCUCAAAGACCCCUAAUGAUGACGACAAACAAUGGACUUCGUUUUCCCUUGCCCGGACGCAGGUCACCGGGGCCCCCCACUGGAGCCAGGCCUGGUGGUGGGGCUCGAAGGCGAGCACCUGGUGGCCGGGCCGGCACAGCCCGAAAGGGUAACGUGGGUCCCCCUUCCCAUGGGCUCACCACCUGUGGGAGGGGCCAUAAGGGUCGGGUGCAGUGUGAGCUGG